rnacentral:misc_RNA from 1 species
AACACUGUUAACCUGCGGUACCUGCGGAAGGAUCAUUACCGAGUUUACAACUCCCAAACCCCUGUGAACAUACCUAUACGUUGCCUCGGCGGAUCAGCCCGCGCCCUGUAAAAAGGGACGGCCCGCCCGAGGACCCUAAACUCUGUUUUUAGUGGAACUUCUGAGUAAAACAAACAAAUAAAUCAAAACUUUUAGCAAUGGAUCU